rnacentral:rRNA from 1 species
UACGUAGGGGGCAAGCGUUGUCCGGAAUCAUUGGGCGUAAAGAGCGCGUAGGCGGCCUGUUGCGUCUGCUGUGAAAUUCCAGGGCUUAACCCUGGGCUUGCAGUGGAUACGGGCAGACUAGAGGCAGGUAGGGGAGAAUGGAAUUCCCGGUGUAGCGGUGAAAUGCGCAGAUAUCGGGAGGAACACCGGUGGCGAAGGCGGUUCUCUGGGCCUGACCUGACGCUGAGGAGCGAAAGCGUGGGGAGCGAACAGG